rnacentral:lncRNA from 1 species
GGGACCCUCUGCACACAUCAACAACUGCCUCUUACGAAGCACAGUGGAAAAACACAGUAUGUUCUGAACACUCGUCGUGGUCUCAGACUGAACAUUUAAAAAGCUGUAAAUCAAAUCAGUGAUCAGUGUCUCCACGAACAGAAGAGGUUGUCUGUGUCCCAAAUAGUGGAUUACUUUUGACCAUGGUCCAUAGAGCUCUGGUCAAAACAACGGCACUAUAUAGGGAAUAGGGUGCCAUAGGGCUCUGGUCUAAAGUAGUGCAGUAUAUAGGGAAUAGGGUGGCAUAGGGCUCUGGUCUAAAGUACUGCACUACAUAGGCAAUAGGGUGCCAUAGGGCUCUGGUCUAAAGUAGUGCACUAUAUAGGGAAUAGGGUGCCAUAGGGCUCUGGUCUAAAGUACUGCACUACAUAGGGAAUAGGGUGCCAUAGGGCUCUGGUCUAAAGUAGUGCACUACAUAGGGAAUAGGGUGCCAUAGGGCUCUGUCUAAAGUAGUGCACUAUAUAGGGAAUAGGGUGCCAUAGGGCUCUGGUCUAAAGUACUGCACUAUAUAUGGAAUAGGGUGCCAUAGGGCUCUGUCUAAAGUAGUGCACUAUAUAGGGAAUAGGGUGCCAUAGGGCUCUGAUCUAAAGUACUGCACUAUAUAGGGAAUAGGGUGCCAUUUGGGACGUAGACUUGGUUCACGUUCCCCUGCUUAGACAUUGCAUGCAUCAACCAAUGGUUGCAUGCCACAUCACUGACUGUGUCAUCAACUGAUGUGUUUAGCUGUACAGGUCUGGCAGGGGUGGAGUUCCCCAGGUAGGUGUGGCCAUCCUAUUGGAGCAGGGGAGGUCAGGUGGUCAGAUAUGGCCAUCCUAUUGGAGCAGGGGAGGUCAGGUGGUCAGGUGUGGCCAUCCUAUUGGAGCAGGGGAGGUCAAGUGGUCAGGUGGUCAGGUGUGGCCAUCCUAUUGGAGCAGGGGAGGUCAGGUGGUCAGAUAUGGCCAUCCUAUUGGAGCAGGGGAGGUCAGGUGGUCAGGUGUGGCCAUCCUAUUGGAGCAGGGGAGGUCAGGUGGUCAGGUGUGGCCAUCCUAUUGGAGCAAGGGAGGUCAGGUGGUCAGGUAUGGCCAUCCUAUUGGAGCAGAGGAGGUCAGGUGGUCAGGUAUGGCCAUCCUAUUGGAGCAGAGGAGGUCAGGUGGUCAGGUAUGGCCAUCCUAUUGGAGCAGGGGAGGUCUGAUGUCAGUAAAGUAGAAUUCCAAAUUCAGAUUGUUAAUUCUAGAUCUAAUGCUGGAUUAGAUAGAAAAACUCCCCCUGCUUUUGAUUAAGAAUGAUGAGGUCAGGGGAUUAGAGGGCAAGCAAAUGCUUUUAUUACAUUGGCCCUUGCCCAAUCCUGGAAUUAAUCUG